GAGUUUGAUCCUGGCUCAGAUUGAACGCUGGCGGCAUGCCUUACACAUGCAAGUCGAACGGCAGCAUGAUCUAGCUUGCUAGAUUGAUGGCGAGUGGCGAACGGGUGAGUAAUACAUCGGAACGUGCCCUGUAGUGGGGGAUAACUAGUCGAAAGAUUAGCUAAUACCGCAUACGACCUGAGGGUGAAAGUGGGGGACCGCAAGGCCUCAUGCUAUAGGAGCGGCCGAUGUCUGAUUAGCUAGUUGGUGGGGUAAAGGCCCACCAAGGCGACGAUCGGUAGCUGGUCUGAGAGGACGAUCAGCCACACUGGGACUGAGACACGGCCCAGACUCCUACGGGAGGCAGCAGUGGGGAAUUUUGGACAAUGGGCGAAAGCCUGAUCCAGCAAUGCCGCGUGUGUGAAGAAGGCC
rnacentral:rRNA from 1 species